UACACACCUGGCCGAAAUCACAAACCUGCUACAGGUUUCCUGGAGGAGCGCUUGAGGAACGUCAGGAAGCGCAUGAGAAUGCUGAAACGACCACGCCACCAAGAACAACAGAAGGAACAGACCGUCCCUAGUACACCAGAAUAUGAUGUGCCUCCUGAAAAACUUCUAGAAAUGGUUGAAUGGAUGAAGGUCAAUAGGUAUCCAGUGUCCCAAGUUGAGGACUACAUGAGUCAAACAGCUCUACAUAGAGGCAAGUGGAUUCGCAGCAAUGGAUCUAAAAGCCUCCCGGAAAUCUUGACUGAGUUCCCUAGGCUUUUAGACAAUCCUGGCAUGAUAUCACAAGACUUCCAGCAGCUUCAUCCAGAGGCAGUGGGAAAACUGUUUCAGAACUGGGCUACUAUGAGUGACCAAAUCCUUACAUAUGCCCAGCGAGAGGGAAAACUGCCCUUGGUGUUUGAUGACAUGACACCAGGAUUGGAGGAAAAGUCCACAGACCCACCAUAGAGGAGUCCCGCAAGUCCUUCAUUAAUAUCCAACCAGUGGGCACCAACAUGGUACAGUACCUACAGACAGCAGAGAGAACUCAACCCUUCCCGCACAUCUUGUGUCUUGGUGAUGACAUGACAACAUGCCAGACCUUCACCAUUGUGUCAGACAACGCCAUUGAAACGGACACUUUGCUGGGUGCAGUAGAUCUGUGUUUUAAGGCUUUCUUUGUGUUUGACCUCAAUUACACAAAGCAGUGUCUCCCCACCUGGGAGUUUAUCCAACAGGCAGUAUAUAACAUUGAUGGACAUGAAUCCUCAAAUGUCAAAUUUAUGAGGAAAUCAAUUGCAGCUUUGGCCUAAAGGUACACAGAGAGAAGUAGCGUUUUAGUGAUGUGUGUCAAACAAGUUGACAGCUGCUCUCUAAAAAUAUGAUUGACACAAAACAUGAUUGCAGAAGACAGUAGGCA